CCCAAAGAAAAUAUCUCUUAAAGGAUAAGUUUGAUUUUUAUUUAAAAGUUUAUUGGCUUUCAAUAGAAACCAAUUAGCUGAGUCGCCAAAGUCUCCCAACGAUUCGAUUUCAUGUGGCACCUUACUCGACACACCGCCACAGGGCUCGAACAACUUGUCGUUCUCGACAGAGUCCAAGGUGAAACAACGUGGGGUGGCAUCCGAUACUUGGUUGCCAACUGGAUGGUUGAUCAAAGAUAGGGGUCGAAGCUCCGAUGCCAGACCUGGUCUGGUUGAUAAGUAUUAUGUUGAUCCAUCAUCGGGCCGAAAAUUCAGAUCGAAGAAAGAAGUGCUGUACUAUCUAGAAACUGGCACCCCUCAACCUAAAAGGAAGAAAGGAACAGAGACUCCUGUUGGUGAGGAAGUUGGAAGUCUGAAAUAAAAACGUUGUUAGUUGAAUAUUUGUCCAGACCCUGGGUUUUGGUUUAUGCUUGAAUUUUGUUUUGCAGUUGACAGGGGCCUCUCCAGGCAACAAAAAGAGGAAGUCUGAUAGAAAAUGAAGCCUUCCAACUUUAUUUUCGUUAAUGUACCAGAGAAAGUGGAUUGGUUGUUCAGCAGCAAUGCCUCUGCAGACUCCUGGACUCCCUUCCUUGGGGAUGACCAAGUCUGCAGACUCCUGGACUCCCUUCCUUGGGGAUGACCAAGUCCAAGUGCCUGAAUCUACUACAUAAGAUUGGUCUGCUACUUUUACAUCCCUAACAGCCUGCCAAACUGAUUAAGUAAUGGUUUGCAAACAUUCCCUGUUUCUAGGUAGAGGUUAUAGGUUUCUUUUGUAUUCGUUUAUUCAUUCUUUUGUUCUCUUUCCAUUGUUAAUAUGUAACCUUUAGCUAGGAUUUCCUUUUUAAAUGGCUUUGUUUCAGAACAAAGAGAUGGUUUUCGUUUCAUUUUAGGCCUAAUUUGGGACGAGCUCGUGAAUGAAUUGAGAGUAAAAAGCCUACUUUGGCCUUGGGAUGAAUUUCUCCCCAUAAUGACUAAACGUCCGCUACAACUGGUUCUCCUGAGCUGA